GCCGCGGUAGCUCAAUUGGUAGAGCAUCGUAUCCAAAAUGCGAAGGUAACGGGUUCGGUCCCCACCUGCGGCA